GGCAGACUGAACAUAUAACUGUAAAUCUGGCAACUCUAGUCCUUCCCAAGUUGCCAGUGUUUUCAUGAAAUUUUUGCUGUGUAUAAGACGAGCCCUAUAAAUAUUUUAAACAUCGAAAAUGACAACUUUGAUAUUUUAGAGGUGACUUCUGAGGAGAACAACACACAUCUGAUUCUCAUGCCUCCCCUGUGCUACAGUACUGUGAUGUUAAUGGCUCCGUAGUGCAUGCUGGGAGACUACAGCCCCCACAAUACAGCAG